rnacentral:lncRNA from 1 species
AGUUCUGCCCACCCGAUGUCUUCAUUCAGAACGGCUAUCCUUGUUGGAAUAGCAAAGCCUACUGUUACAAUGGCGUGUGCCAGUAUUAUGACGCUCAGUGCCAGAUCAUGAUAUACUCGGAAAGUAUGAAACACGGCGUGUACUCAGUUAUUGCCUUCCAUUUUUUAUGAUCUUUCAACUAUGAUAACCUUGAUAGAAAUCGACUUAACACAAUCAGUUAUUGCCUUCCAUUUUUAAAUCUCUUCAACUGUAAUGACUACGAUAGGAGCUGAUUUGUCUCUUCAGUUUUCUUCAUGCAUCAUGGUAAAGCAUUGCAAUCGCGUUGUUUUAAUCGAAGUGCACACUGUAUGGUACGAGGCGUUUAUUAUACCCAAGCAGAUGGGCAUCAGUCGACCGAGCAGGAGCACAGAGAAAACCUUCCAAGAGUUGAGGUGUUACAAAACCACUUGAGAAUUCAUGAGCACUUUAAAAUCUGAAUUUC